rnacentral:tRNA from 1 species
UGGAACGUAGCUCAGAGGUAGAGCAGUUGAUCUUAAAGCUAGCGUGUCGAAGGUUCGAGUCCUUCCGUUCCGA